rnacentral:lncRNA from 1 species
CUGAUGGAUGCGCCAAUGGUUGGACGGACAGAUGUUAGGGCGGAUCACACAGUGCGCGGCGCCUGAGCAGGGAGGGCUAGGCACUGGCAAGCAGGGGUGAGGACGGGCGACAGGGGAGCCGCUUGGGUCACGGCACGAGGGUAUGAGGGGUGGGGGUGGGCAGCGAGAGAACGAAGGUUGAGAGAGCACCAAAAGAAAGCAAAGGGAGAGGGAAGCAUCCUUUGGGCGAACUCCCGGUGCGUGGUACCCAGCGCUAUGAACACGUCGCCGCCGCCGGCGUGCCUAGAUGGGCUCUCCCCGCUUUGAAUGUAAGCCAGACCUUCUGGGUCUGACCUCCAGGGACAACGACCCUCCUUCAGGUCAGAGGGGCGCCGCGGCCACCUGAACCGUAAGGCCAACGGCGGGGCCAGACGACUCACCGAUCCCUCGCUCGCAAGAAGCUUUACGCGCCGAGGCCCGCGUCUCCACGGCCUGGAGGAGACGCUGCUUCGGCCUCUGAGGCCGCAGGCAUCAGACACCCCAGGCGCACCCACCCACGGGUACGCGACACACACACAGGCAGCUCGGGAGCUCAGCCGCAGCCGGCUUCUGGCUCUCGACUCCGCCCGGGAUCCACACCGGGUUAACUCAACUCUCGAGCGCCUAGGCGCUGGAGCCGGCUUUAUAGCCCCGGAGGACAGCAGCCACACAUCUGCAUUCAGGGAGGCGUCUGGACCCAGCCCAAGCCGGCCGGCCGGGGGCGAGCGGAGACUUUUGAUCUUACCGGUAGGGUGAGAUCUUGGUCUCCUGGUCUAUAAGAAAAAGAAAGCACGCUGUGAACUUUUAAAACAAACUUGAAAAACCAACCACAAAGAAAGCAUGAAAAAGAGACAGGGCUGAAUAAGAGGGAAGAGAAGAAUAAGUUUAAAAUAAGAGG